GCUGUAGUGGUGUAAGGGUAACAUCUAAGCUUCCCAUGCCGUUCAAAUGAGCUUGCUUAGGCACCGAGUUCGAGUCUCGGCUACAGCA
rnacentral:tRNA from 1 species